GAUGAACGCUGGCGGCGUGCCUAAUACAUGCAAGUCGAGCGAACAGACGAGGAGCUUGCUCCUCUGACGUUAGCGGCGGACGGGUGUGUAACACGUGUAUAACCUACCUAUAUGUCUGGGAUAACUUCGGGACACCGGAUCUUAUCCCGGAUAAUAUCUUGAACCGCAUGGUUCAAUAGUGAAAGACGGUUUUGCUGUAUCUUAUCGAUGGAUCUGCGCCGCAUUAGCUAGUUGGUACGGUAACGGCUUACCAAGGCAACGAUGCGUAGCCGACCUGAGAGGGUGAUCGGCCACACUGGAGCUGGGACACGGUCCAUGCUCCUACGGGAGGCAGCAGUAGGGAAUCUGCCGCAAUAGGCGAAAGCCUGACGGAGCAACGGCGCGUGAGUGAUGAAGGUCUUCGGAUCGUAAAACUCGGUUAUUAGGGAAAAACAAAUGUGUAAGUAACUAUGCACGUAUUGACGGUACCUAGUCAGAAAGCCACGGCUAACUACGUG
rnacentral:rRNA from 1 species